UGGGGAAUUUUGGACAAUGGGCGAAAGCCUGAUCCAGCAAUGCCGCGUGUGUGAAGAAGGCCUUCGGGUUGUAAGCACUUUUGUCCGGAAAGAAAUCCUUGGCUCUAAUACAGUCGGGGGAUGACGGUACCGGAAGAAUAAGCACCGGCUAACUACGUGCCAGCAGCCGCGGUAAUACGUAGGGUGCAAGCGUUAAUCGGAAUUACUGGGCGUAAAGCGUGCGCAGGCGGUUUGCUAAGACCGAUGUGAAAUCCCCGGGCUCAACCUGGGAACUGCAUUGGUGACUGGCAGGCUAGAGUAUGGCAGAGGGGGGUUAGAAUUCCACGUGUAGCAGUGAAAUGCGUAGAGAUGUGGAGGAAUACCGAUGGCGAAGGCAGCCCCCUGGGCAAUACUGACGCUCAUGCACGAAAGCGUGGGGGAGCAAACAGGAUUAGAUACCCUGGUAGUCCCACGCCCCUAAACGAUGUCAACUAGUUGUUGGGGACUUCAUUUUCCUUAGUAACGUAGCUAACGCGUG
rnacentral:rRNA from 1 species